rfam:Stegodyphus mimosarum contig68632, whole genome shotgun sequence.
GCCUUUGUGGUGUAAUGGUUAGCACACUAGGCGCGUAUUCCAAGAGGCCCAGGUUCGAGUCUUGGCGAGGGCA